rnacentral:rRNA from 1 species
GGCCUAACCAUGCAAGUCGAGCGGUAACAGAUCCAGCUUGCUGGAUGCUGACGAGCGGCGGACGGGUGAGUAAUGCAUAGGAAUUUACCCGAUAGUGGGGGAUAACCUGGGGAAACUCAGGCUAAUACCGCAUACGUCCUACGGGAGAAAGGGGGCCUUGGCUCCCGCUAUCGGAUGAGCCUAUGCCGGAUUAGCUGGUUGGUGAGGUAAUGGCUCACCAAGGCGACGAUCCGUAGCUGGUCUGAGAGGAUGAUCAGCCACAUCGGGACUGAGACACGGCCCGAACUCCUACGGGAGGCAGCAGUGGGGAAUAUUGGACAAUGGGGGCAACCCUGAUCCAGCCAUGCCGCGUGUGUGAAGAAGGCCCUCGGGUUGUAAAGCACUUUCAGCGAGGAAGAACGCCUGGCGGUUAAUACCCGCCAGGAAAGACAUCACUCGCAGAAGAAGCACCGGCUAACUCCGUGCCAGCAGCCGCGGUAAUACGGAGGGUGCAAGCGUUAAUCGGAAUUACUGGGCGUAAAGCGCGCUUAGGUGGCUU